rnacentral:piRNA from 1 species
UCCUUUCNGAUGUAAAUUGCCCUUAGCC